rnacentral:lncRNA from 12 species
GGAGGGAGAGACUAGCAGGCUCCCGGUGUGGGGUGGAAAGCCCAUGCCCAGGAACCAUAGGUGAUGGGUAGGAAAAGGUUGAGGGCAGGCCAAAGGAAGACCCAAAGCUUCUGCUGAGGAGCCAGAAAACCUGGUCCGGGCUCAGAGCUGAGCAGCUGUUCCUGAUAUUAUAUUGUUCAAAAUGGGCCAACACAGCUGGGCUUCAGGGAAAGGUGAAGAAAAACAGAAGGAAAUGCAAGGGAGUGAGCAUGAUAUGAACACAGAGGUGACCUUGAAUUUACUCUGAAAAACCACAACCAACAGAGCUCUCUGGCCCUUCAGAUGCCCAGCGUGCACCCCUCCCCACGGCCAGUCUUGUCCUCUGGAGUCAGACCCCUGACCUGGGAGGUGUGGAGCUAGUGGUUCCAAGCUCAGCCUCAAUGAGAUCACCUGGGUUUGCUUCCCUGCCUCUACUACCCGUGAAUCUUGGCAAGUCACUCCACCUUUACGUAAGACCAGUGCCUAGCGCCUGUGAGGGAUCCAGUGUGCUCCGUCUUCUCUCAUUUUGAAUCCACGUCUCUGAUUCUGGACUAGAAUUCUGAGCUGGAGUCCGGCCUAGGCCUCCCUUGACUUCACCCUAGCACUUUGGGGUACUCAAAUCUUGCUCCUGACCUCUAUUUCUCUGGCUGAAUCCCUCUCAGGAAGGGUGCAUAAACUCUUUUUUUUUUUCUUGUUUUGAAAAUUUGUCUCUUAACCUAGGGGCUGGCAAACUAUGGCCCGUGAGUCAUGUCUGGCCUACUGCCUGCUUUUGUAAAUAAAAUUUUAUUGGAACACA